GACGUAGGGCGCGAGCGUUGUCCGGAUUUAUUGGGCGUAAAGAGCUCGUAGGCGGCUUGUUGCGUCGACCGUGAAAACCCGGGGCUCAACUUCGGGCUUGCGGUCGAUACGGGCGGGCUAGAGUUCGGUAGGGGAGACUGGAAUUCCUGGUGUAGCGGUGAAAUGCGCAGAUAUCAGGAGGAACACCGGUGGCGAAGGCGGGUCUCUGGGCCGAUACUGACGCCGAGGAGCGAAAGCGUGGGGAGCGAACAGG
rnacentral:rRNA from 1 species